GAACGGAUUAUGACGCAACAAUACAGCUCCAGACCAGAGAAAGUUCAUGCCAAAGUUAUUAUUCGGUUCCACACUAAAACUGAGGUUUGACACGUGUGAUUUGAGGCUAGAGCUUGAGGACUCAACUCUGAAGACUGUUUCUGAAUUCACUGACCUGGUGAGUAAAUGUUGUGUACAAUGGCACCAUCUAGUGACAGAAACAUAGAAACACACAUUGUUGCUGAACGAAAGCAUCUCUUUAUUUUCCAGAAAUAAAACUUGUAGACCUUUCCUGCAGUCUCUGAGGAGAUGGACAGCUCUUCUUCUUCUGGACGAUCUCCGUCUCCUACUGGGACUGUCUUCUUACCCCCUCCUAUCAUAUGGAACAGUCUCUACAAGCAGGCAGAGAUGGAGGUUCACUUCCCGAGAGAAGAGAAGAAGACCUAUACAGAGAAGGAAGCCCACAUGCUUGAGUUGAUGGGGAAGGAUCGAACGAUCCGAAAUCAGAAGAAGGAGAUGGACAGACUUCAAGUGUGCCUCUGGGAGGAGGAAAAGAAGAAGAGGAAUGGUGGAACGGAGAAGGACAAGAUCAUUGAACAAUUACAGUCUGAGACAGACCAUCUCCGAGCCCUUUUAAAAGAUGAAAGGAGGAGAAGAAGAGUAGAAAGGGGUAUAAUGAAAGAGUGGAAGGCUGAGAUCCUGAGACUGAGGGAGGCAGAGAGCCAGAGGGAGGCAGAGAGCCAGAGGGAGGCAGAGAG